rnacentral:rRNA from 1 species
AUUGAACGCUGGCGGCAUGCUCUACACAUGCAAGUCGAACGGUAACAGGCCGCCAGGUGCUGACGAGUUGCGAACGGGUGAGUAAUGCAUCGGAACGUGCCCAGACGUGGGGGAUAACUACUCGAAAGAGUAGCUAAUACCGCCUACGACCUAUGGAUGAAAGCGGGGGACCGUAAGGCCUCGCGCGAUUGGAGCGGCCGAUGUCAGAUUAGGUAGUUGGUGGGGUAAAGGCUCACCAAGCCAACGAUCUGUAGCUGGUCUGAGAGGACGACCAGCCACACUGGGACUGAGACACGGCCCAGACUCCUACGGGAGGCAGCAGUGGGGAAUUUUGGACAAUGGGCGGAAGCCUGAUCCAGCAAUGCCGCGUGCAGGAAGAAGGCCUUCGGGUUGUAAACUGCUUUUGUACGGAACGAAACGGCUCUGGUUAAUACCCGGGGCUAAUGACGGUACCGUAAGAAUAAGCACCGGCUAACUACGUG